GUCCUUUUGAAUUUAAUUUAAGGUCUGACCUGCCCAGUGAUUAAUUUAACGGCCGCGGUAUAUUGACCGUGCAAAGGUAGCAUAAUCAUUAGUCUUUUAAUAGAGGGCUGGAAUGAAAGGUUUGACGAGGAAUUGACUGUCUCAUUUUAUUUGUUUUAAAACUUAAUUUUUUAGUUAAAAAGCUAAAAUUUAAUUGGAAGACGAGAAGACCCUAUAGAUCUUUAUAUGAUUUUAUUUAAAUAUUUAUAUAUUAAUAUAUUUAAUUAUCAUUAUAUUGUGUUGGGGUGACAAAAAUAUAUAAUUAACUUUUUUAUUUAACUACCAUUGAUAAGUGAACAUUAGAUCCACUCAUAGUGAUUAAUAGACUAAGUUACCUUAGGGAUAACAGCGUAAUCCUCCCCCAGAGUUCAUAUUUACGGGAUGGGCUUGCGACCUCGAUGUUGGAUUAAGAUAAUAAUUAGGUGUAGCCGCUUAAUAUAUAGGUCUGUUCGACCUUUAAAUUCUU
rnacentral:rRNA from 1 species